rnacentral:lncRNA from 1 species
CCGCAAUAGCAGGUGUUUCAUGUUUGAUCAAUCCUUCACCAUUCACUUGUAUUGGAAAUGGAAGCAAUGUAUCAGAAGUUAACAACAACUGCAAUCAUAAUCCAAUAUAAAGCAAUUCUGAGAAUUCAUAUCAUAAAUUGAAAAAAAAGGAACAAAAGGCAGCAAUAGCAGGUGUUUCAUGUUUGAUCCAAUCCUUCACCAUUCACUUGUAUUGGAAAUGGAAGCAAUGUAUCAGAAGUUAACAACAACUGCAAUCAUAAUCCAAUAUAAAGCAAUUCUGAGAAUUCAUAUCAUAAAUUGAAAAAAAAGGAACAAAAGGCAGCAAUAGCAGGUGUUUCAUGUUUGAUCCAAUCCUUCACCAUUCACUUGUAUUGGAAAUGGAAGCAAUGUAUCAGAAGUUAACAACAACUGCAAUCAUAAUCCAAUAUAAAGCAAUUCUGAGAAUUCAUAUCAUAAAUUGAAACAAAGGAACAAAAGGCAGCAAUAGCAGGUGUUUCAUGUUUGAUCCAAUCCUUCACCAUUCACCAGCAGUAGAUGUUUGAUUCCAACUUCCAAGUCUCAAGUCUUCACCAACAAAUGACAUGCCCGACUCUAAGUUUAUAUAACAGAAUAUGAGAAACUAACCCUAAACAACUUUCAAGAAUCGUUGAAUCAACUAGCAUACUU